rnacentral:rRNA from 1 species
UACGUAGGGGGCAGGCGUUGUCCGGAAUCAUUGGGCGUAAAGCGCGUGUAGGCGGCCCGGUAAGUCCGCUGUGAAAGUCGAGGGCUCAACCCUCGAAUGCCGGUGGAUACUGUCGGGCUAGAGUGCGGAAGAGGCGAGUGGAAUUCCUGGUGUAGCGGUGAAAUGCGCAGAUAUCAGGAGGAACACCAAUGGCGAAGGCAGCUCGCUGGGACGUGACUGACGCUGAGACGCGAAAGCGUGGGGAGCAAACAGG